rnacentral:rRNA from 1 species
AACGAACGCUGGCGGCAUGCCUAACACAUGCAAGUCGAACGAGACCUUCGGGUCUAGUGGCGCACGGGUGCGUAACGCGUGGGAACCUGCCCUUAGGUUCGGAAUAACUCCCCGAAAGGGGUGCUAAUACCGGAUAAUGUCUUCGGACCAAAGAUUUAUCGCCUUUGGAUGGGCCCGCGUUGGAUUAGCUAGUUGGUAGGGUAAAAGCCUACCAAGGCGACGAUCCAUAGCUGGUCUGAGAGGAUGAUCAGCCACACUGGGACUGAGACACGGCCCAGACUCCUACGGGAGGCAGCAGUGGGGAAUAUUGGACAAUGGGCGAAAGCAUGAUCCAGCAAUGCCGCGUGAGUGAUGAAGGCCUUAGGGUUGUAAAGCUCUUUUACCCGGGAUGAUAAUGACAGUACCGGGAGAAUAAGCUCCGACUAACUCCGUG